CGCAAAGUCUUGAUGAUUGAUGGUUGGAGCGUGCAGGUUGGAGUUUGCACUUUCAAGUUUUAAGAAUUUUUUUUCUAUUCAUAAUGUCUCUCAUAUCUUGAGCGUUUGGUUUUCUUUAUCACUUUUUCUGCUUCCUUUUGUUUACGAGAAUGAGUUCUCUGCUUCCUUUUGUUUACGAGAAUCAAAGUGUUAUUUGUUUGGUUUUCUUCAUAUCAAUAAUAUUGGUGACUUUUGUUUCAUUCAAGUUGAUCUUCUGUUUAAUGGUAUGAAUCCUUCUUUCAAAUGUUAUGUUUUGUUUUAAAUUGGUUACAAAUUAGUAUAAAUUGAGGACCGAAGAACCGAUAGUACGAUUUAAAACCGAACCCGAAAGUAUACCGGGUUUCACCGGUUUCUUGCUAGC
rnacentral:lncRNA from 1 species